rnacentral:rRNA from 1 species
CCUACGGGAGGCAGCAGUGGGGAAUAUUGCACAAUGGGGGGAACCCUGAUGCAGCGACGCCGCGUGAAGGAAGAAGUAUUUCGGUAUGUAAACUUCUAUCAGCAGGGAAGAAAAAGGACGGUACCUGACUAAGAAGCCCCGGCUAACUACGUGCCAGCAGCCGCGGUAAUACGUAGGGGGCGAGCGUUAUCCGGAUUUACUGGGUGUAAAGGGGGCGCAGACGGCCAUGGCAAGCCCGGUGUGAAAGGUGCGGGCACAACCCGCAGACUGCACUGGUAACUGUCUGGCUGGAGUGCCGGAGGGGUAAGCGGAAUUCCUGGUGUAGCGGUGAAAUGCGUAGAUAUCAGGAGGAACACCGGUGGCGAAGGCGGCUUACUGGACGGCAACUGACGUUGAGGCC